ACAAACAAACAAAAAACCCCAGGACACUCUGUUGUCUUGUCACUGUCCCUCACAUGUUCUGUGACCCCAGACAAACCACUUCCCUUAUCUGAGCCUCAGUUUCCCCAUCUGCAGCCCAGCACAGUCCCAGCACAGAACACAUGUUCAAUAAAUGAAUCAUGGAGAUCUCUAGUUAACCUGUAGGACUCCAGCCAGCUCGAGAGAUCUAUUAAUACAAUUCUACCCACGAUUCUGCUCUUUCGAAAGUGCAGCUUUCUUAGUUGAGUUCUUCCAGAUGCAGACUUUGAGAUGAGGCUUCAUCUGCAAGCAAUUUAUUAAGGAGUGCUUCCUGAAGACCAGCAGGGAAAAGAAGCUACAGUGUGGUGUCAAGCAAGACCCAGCCUCAGCCUGAUCAAACCAGGUGCUCUGGAGAAUGCAUUAUGACUUUGUGCUAUGGAGAAUGCAUUAUGACUUCGUACCUCAAUGCAAGACAGCUGGGCUCUCACAGUUCUGGGCCCACCAGUCACUGGCUAUGGGGCCACCUGGGAGGGGUGUGUGAAUUCCCAGGCACUUGCAUCUCUGCAGGAGUGCAAGGGCGGGCCCCUGAAGUAGGUUUAAGUGAUCGCUCUUGGAGGUGAAGCAUAACGAAGCUGGGGGAGCAACAAGAAAUACCUUCAUCUUUUUAGAGAAGAGUGAAAUUGAAGCCAGAGAGGUUGGUUAACUUGCCCAAGAUCACAAAGCUUCCAAGAUGAAGAGCUGGGAUUUCAUUUCAGGUUUCCCAUCUGGCAACAUCCAAGCCCUUUCCAUAAUUCCACACUGUGAAUUUGCUUCCCAAACCAAGAGUGGGAUACAAUUAGCUGGGGAGUGCAACUCAUCCCUCAAUCACUGAUCUGAGUAUGGAUAUCAAAAGAAACAUUUCCUGAAGCAAGACGCUGAGCUGGAAGCUUCCACGGUUGUGCCUAUACUGUGGCAGUCCUGCGCGAACCUGUCCGGCCCCAUGGAAACCUGCAGGGCUGAGGUCUCCCAGGGCAAAUGGGGCUGCAGGAUGCUCACUACACCCCCAGAAACAGGAGAAGGGACAAGGACACAGGACUGUCUGUGAGCAACACUGACUUUCGGCACAGGAGAGAUCCUUUGCCCCUCCUCACUCCAGAAUAUUGCUAAGAACAUAAUUGAUCUCUCUCCUUCUCAUUCACUCACAUCUCCCAAAACAAAGGAAGAGAGACCCAUUCAACUGAUCAGAGCCUGACUUUCCAUUGCUGAGCCAUGUUUUACUACUGAGUGGGGCAACUGCUUUAAAAAUCCAUUUGUUGCUGCAUUUUCUUGCCAGCUAUUUCUUCAUUUACAGGGUUCUGAGAGGCCUGGCCUCUGCUUCCUCCGCCCAUCCAAUAAGUACCACCUGUCUGUUGAGGGGCUCAGUGGCUUCAAGGUUUCAACCCUGGCUACAUCAUGGAACCAUCUGGGGAGCUUUCCAAGUACUGAUGCCUGAACCUUAGUCACAGAUUAAUGGAAACCUGAGGAAUGGGGACCCAUGACCUGGAGUCUGUAAGGCUUCCCCAUUGAUGUGAUGCUUGGUGAAAUCUGUUUGGGUGAGUACAUUCAGUGGCCACUUGCCAUGACUUUUCCUGUCUCUAUAGCUACAUCUGGGUCCCUGGAUCCCUGCAACUAGAUUUAAGCUGGAGGAAGAAGUUUCCAUUUUGGCCUUGAGCCUAAGCCUAGUUUUUCAAACCUGCUUUUGGCAGAACAGUGCAAUGAGGCAUGAGAGUUUUGCCAAUAUACUAAUAAAGCCGUGCUCUCCCUCCCAUCUGCCGCACGAUCCCUGUGGGCCUGCUCUACUGUCCUGGACCUGGAGGAGAAGGGGAGCAUGUGGGAGCAACUGGGAGCCACGACUCCCUGGCAAACAACAUUGGGGACUUUCAACACCAUUUUAAAAAUAGAGUCACUUAUUUCAGUAUAUCUCGGCCAGUUCAGCAAAUGACUUUAGGUGGCUUACACUGUAAAUAUAGAAAACAAAAUGAGGAUAAAAAUAAGAAUAGAGAUUUUGGACCAAGGAAUUAUAAUGUCAAGUAGAGAGCAAGGCAAUUAAAAAAAAAAAAAAAGAGCAGAAGAGUGCAGAUCAAAAACAAAGCAGGCAGUGUAUAUACUGAGAUACUUCAACCUGUUAAGAGUAAUUGGGCAUUGCUUGAUUCAAUAACACACAUUUUGAGUGUAAGAACUAGACGUUAUUCCCAUUUGACAGAUGAUGAAACUGAGACUUAACAGAUUGUCUGAGGCCUGGCAGCUAGUGACCCCAGAGUCACAUUCAGGCUGCCUGUGGUGGGGCCUUUGUUCCUACAGCACCUCAUGACCUCGCUAAAGUGGUUUAGCCCUGAGCUUCCAUUCAACCAGAGGGAAGAAGACUGACACAGCCAGACACAAACAUAUUCAUUAUCAGAAAGUAUGAAGCAUUCUAGUUCCCCAGGAAAAGCAGUAUUUCCCUCAAUCACUCAAUUCAAAAAUGGCAUUCCUCAGGUGGGAGUGGGGAAGGCUUCACAGACGAGCAGAGGGCAGGGUUUUGUGGCGUAAGUGGGGGUUCACCAGGUGGGCGGGGGUGGGAGAACAUUUAGGAAAAUGUACAGCACAUUUAAAGACCUGGACAAUUAUAAGAAACCAUCUGGUGUUGGAGGCUACAAAAAGGCCAGAGUUUAUGAAGCACAAAGUGAGGUUAACUAACUUAAUAACAUUUUAAACCUUAGUCAAAUUAGAAAACCAAAGAGAAGUGAAAAGAAAAUUUAAUUUAAAGACAUAGAAUACAAUCUUAUCAAGGUGGGCUUCACUAAUGUGGAACAUGCAGUGAUUCAGAGAUGCAAAAAAAAAAAAACAGCAUUCACAAAGCUGAUUUAUAAUGUAAGCAAGAUUGAAGGCAACAGUUCAAAGCCACAUAAGGCACCAAUAGGUUUUCAAAUAUUCAGGAAUUCAUGGUCACAUAGCAACAAAGAUAUGCUAAUGACAAGCACUUAACAUAUUCAUUACAAUAGGUCCCUGUGGUCCUGCAGUACCACUCCUGGCUACACCUUAUUAGUCCUUCUACUUUCUGCACAAUGUUGAUGCACAAGCCUGCCUUGCUUGGCUUGCUUCUGUACAAACAACCACCGUGCAUGUUCAAUUAAAGUAAUACUCAUUUUAUGUGUACCUUUAGCUGGAAUUGUGGCUGAGAAGGGCAGCCUCGGUCACCAAUCUGCUUUAUAAUGUCCUGUAAAGGAUCUCUGUAAUGCCUAGGACUCCCCGAGAUUAACCUCCACAUGCAAAACCUGGGAAUGAGUUGUGCUUCAUCAGAAAUCUCAUUACCUUCAGUACAGACCUGAAGGGUGUGGACAAAAUGGAAAUUGUCAGAGUGGCUUAGGCUGAUGUUUCCUUUCACUGCACCUCAUACAAAAGUACAUAAUUAGGAAGGAAAGACAGGAUCAGCCACCUCUGUAUAAACACUGUGCGCAGCAGGGAUUUUAAGUCAGCCUGACACAAAGAACUGCCAUUGUGACUGCCACACAACCAGUGCCACCGAAAUGUGACAUGAGGACACAAUGUUUGGAUGCAGUAGAGCAUGAAGGCCAAGCUCCCAGACCUUUGUGCAAGUCUAGCCGUCUGCCAGGUGCCGCCUUCCUCCUUUAUCUGCCUCUUGAAAUCCUGCCUAAAGAGGGAGUGUGGCAUCACCACCCCAUGGAUCACCAGGAUUCCAUGUGGGCCGUGGGCCUAAAUAUGCUGCAGAGAGAGUGAGAGGGGUCCAUUUCUACCCUUCUCUCCUACCAGACAGACCAACUCCCCCAGAUGGCGAAGCAUAGCAGCUUUCUCCCCUUGUCCUUCAGUACCCAACUCGAACAUUCAUGCAGAAAGCAUUGGUUGAACAAAUGACCAUUAAUCCUCUGAAAAAAAUUAUUAGUAUUAUUGGGAAUCAAAGGCACACGUAUUAAAACAAGUAUAAGCUACCACCUUCCCACCACCAUGCCCCAUCAGAUUACAAAUUAGUUGGUGAAAAGGCGGUCAAAGAGGCAUUUCCACAGGUGGCGUGUCAAGUGGUAUAAAUUCUGAAAUGCAAUUUCACAGUAUGUUUCAAAAGUUUUUUGAUAGAGUGUUGGCUGACAUCUAGACAUUUAUAUUCUAUGCAGAUAAUCAGGGAUGCAGACAAAGUUUGCUCAUCAUAAUAAUAGCUAACUUUGAGAAGUAUCCAUUGUUAGGCAACAUGCCCUCACUUUAUAUAGAUUUUGUGAAGUUCCUACUCUGAUGAAAUAAGAACAGUUCAUCAUAGGGGGUAGUUUCUAUGGCAUGAGAUAGCACAUUUCAAGCAUUUUGAAGAAAAACUAACAUGCAGAAAAAAAAAUGCAGUGAAUUCUAAAUAUUUUCAUUAUUAUCAUUAUUAUUUGCUGGAAAAAAAAACAACAGAAAACAUGUUUUACCAUGAAACAUAAAUGGGGCUUAUUCCAGGCAGGAUGGCUCACUAUUGAUAAAUUGAAUAAUGUCAUUAACCAUAAUUGAAGAGCAAGGAACCUAAACAUCUGAGCAUUUUUAUAAUUUUUCAAAAAGCUUCUGAUAAAAUUCAAAAUCACUUCCAAAGAUAAAAAUCUCUUAAGAAAACAUGAAUAAAAGGAUAGCAUCCAAAGAUUAUCAAUGUACCAAACAAGGGAACUAGUUAAGAGGUAUAACUGUUGCAAAAGCAGACUAUGUUCAACUAUUCAUUCAAUUAUUCAUGCCUUCUACCAAUAUUUCUUGAAUGAAUUCUUUGUGAUGAAAUCUGGCAGCCCAGAAAUAGUGCAUUCAUUUUAGUGGAGAUAAAUAAGGAACUAAGCAAAUAAAUGAAAAAGAUAAUUCCCAAUGGUGACAUAUGCUCUGAAAAAAACUGAUACAGAGUGAUGAGGAACAGACUGAAGGACUGGGUGGUCGUAAGAGGUGCCCACUGCACAUGCUCCCUGACUCUUGCUGCAGCAGCUAAAGGAACUCCAAUCAAGUUCAGCUUGAAAACCAUCAGUCAACCAAGUCAUGCUCUGCAGCAAAGUGAUUCCAAGAGGAUGACAAGUUAGCACAGAGUCACCCAGACAUGAGUGAUCUACAGAGCUGGGCACCUCCUACCAGCUCCACAUCAAACCCCACCCUGAACACUUCCCACAGAGUGAUGAUGUGCCAAGGUGAGCUCUUUGCUAGCCACAGUCUCCAUCACUCCCUAUUGUCCCUCCCUAUUGUCCUUCUUCAUUCAUUUGUCACCUGCCUUCCCCUGCAGACAUCUGAGUUUCUGAGUCCCAAUUUGGUACAGCUCUUGGGCCCAAAGACCUGAAGGUGAAGACCAUUUCUAAAGCCCACCUGCUUGGAAGAAACCAACUGAGGUCCUGGCAGGCUGGAUACCUGAUGCUUCUAGAGAUUUGAAAGGAGAGGACGGGGCAUCAUAUCUGCCAUGGCACCCACCCUGACUGCACCACAGAUGGUCAUGACCAACAGCAAUGCUGCAGCUGUCUAGGGCCGUGGAGUGCUGUGCUCACCUAGAUCUGGAUUUAUUCCUGGCUGAAUUUUCAUCCCCUACAUGUGUUCUUCCUUUUGUUUUCUCACUAGUAGUAAUA
rnacentral:lncRNA from 1 species